ACUCUGCUCCAAGCUGUGCUGGGAGACAGAGAAUAAUAACACCUUUUGGACUGGCCUUUUAAAAAUAGAAACAAUGGAGUCUGUGGCUUUAGGAGGAGAGGUCCUGGGAGUCAGAAGCUCAGUCCUGCUAGCUUGUCAUUCCUUGGAGGAUGCUGGCUACUACUUUGCCCACCGAAACAUUUAUUGAGUGCUACCCACUCCUGUGGAAAAGUCCAGUAUUGCUGGGAGAGAGAAAAGAGGAAAGGCCUCCACCUGGGGUGUCUGCAAGAAGGGCACGGACAUUGGAGGUGCAGAUGCACUGAAGAACUGAUGGGCAAGCAAGAUAGAUGGUCAAGGUUGGCACUCAGAGGGGUGACCGUUACCCGCCCCUCCACCCCUUUCCCCGGCUUGUUGUAAGGGCAAGAUCCUUCCCUCAACUCCAGAAAUGAGUCAUCAUGUGUCUAUGCCAGCCCUGGCAAUCCCAUUCCCCUUUUUGAGUGUUUCCAACCCCAGUUUUGGACAAAGAGACCUAAGGGAAGUCAGUGUGCGACCCUCAAUUCCUAGAAAAAAGACAGAGCCUCAGAAAGAAAAGGCUUUUGGGCUGGAUUACAGGUGGCUCACACCUUUAAUCCCAGCACUUUGGGAGGCCAAGGCAGGUGGAUCACUUGAAGUCAGGAGUUCGAGGCUAGCCUGGCCAAUGUGGUGAAACCCCAUCUCUAUUAAAAAAAAAAAAAAAAAAGAAAGAAGAAAAAGAAGAAAGAAAAGACUUUUGGACCAUGCCUGUUCUUUCUGCUUUGGAAGGUUGGUAGCAGAGUUUAUGCCUAAUUGCUAUCUUGUGACUUUGAGAUGACAAGUGUGAACAUGAAAAACUAACAGCUUAGGCGGAGCCAAAA
rnacentral:lncRNA from 1 species